UACAGAGGGGGCAAGCGUUAUUCGGAAUUAUUGGGCGUAAAGGGCGCGUAGGCGGCUUGGCAAGUGGAUGGUGAAAUCCCUCGGCUUAACCGAGGAACUGCCGUCCAAACUGCUUUGCUUGAGACCGGGAGAGGUGAGUGGAAUUCCCGGUGUAGCAGUGAAAUGCGUAGAGAUCGUAAGGAAGACCAGUGGCGAAGGCGGGUCUCUGGACAGUUCCUGACACUGAAGCACGAAGGCCAGGGGAGCAAAACGGG
rnacentral:rRNA from 1 species